rnacentral:antisense_RNA from 1 species
CUUCAACGAGCCCAGCCACAACGGCUGUUGGGCGGUCCGGGCCUGUCCGUACGUGGCCAGCAGAGCCUGCGCCUC